GACGAACGCUGGCGGCGUGCUUAACACAUGCAAGUCGAACGGCAAGGCCCUGCUUUUGUGGGGUGCUCGAGUGGCGAACGGGUGAGUAACACGUGAGUAACCUGCCCUUGACUUUGGGAUAACUUCAGGAAACUGGGGCUAAUACCGGAUAGGAUCUCCUGCUGCAUGGUGGGGGUUGGAAAGUUUCGGCGGUUGGGGAUGGACUCGCGGCUUAUCAGCUUGUUGGUGGGGUAGUGGCUUACCAAGGCUGUGACGGGUAGCCGGCCUGAGAGGGUGAACGGCCACAUUGGUACUGCGAUACGGCGCAGACGCCUACGGGAGGCAGCAGGGGGGAAUAUUGCACAAUGGGCGGAAGCCUGAUGCAGCAACGCCGCGUGCGGGAUGACGGCCUUCGGGGUGUAAACCGCUUUCGCCUGUGACGAAGCGUGAGUGACGGUAAUGGGUAAAGAAGCACCGGCUAACUACGUG
rnacentral:rRNA from 1 species